rnacentral:rRNA from 1 species
AUUGAACGCUGGCGGCAUGCCUUACACAUGCAAGUCGAACGGCAGCACGGGGGCAACCCUGGUGGCGAGUGGCGAACGGGUGAGUAAUAUAUCGGAACGUGCCCUAGAGUGGGGGAUAACUAGUCGAAAGAUUAGCUAAUACCGCAUACGAUCUACGGAUGAAAGUGGGGGAUCGCAAGACCUCAUGCUCCUGGAGCGGCCGAUAUCUGAUUAGCUAGUUGGAGGGUAAAAGCCUACCAAGGCAUCGAUCAGUAGCUGGUUUGAGAGAACGACCAGCCACACUGGAACUGAGACACGGUCCAGACUCCUACGGGAGGCAGCAGUGGGGAAUUUUGGACAAUGGGGGCAACCCUGAUCCAGCAAUGCCGCGUGUGUGAAGAAGGCCU